UACGUAGGGGGCAAGCGUUGUCCGGAUUUAUUGGGCGUAAAGAGCGUGUAGGCGGUUUGGUAGGUCCGCUGUGAAAACUCGAGGCUCAACCUCGAGACGCCGGUGGAAACCAUCAGGCUAGAGUCCGGAAGAGGAGAGUGGAAUUCCUGGUGUAGCGGUGAAAUGCGCAGAUAUCAGGAAGAACACCCGUGGCGAAGGCGGCUCUCUGGGACGGUACUGACGCUGAGACGCGAAAGCGUGGGGAGCAAACAGG
rnacentral:rRNA from 1 species